AUUGAACGCUGGCGGCAGGCCUAACACAUGCAAGUCGAACGAGUGGCGGACGGGUGAGUAAUGUCUGGGAACCUGCCCGAUGGAGGGGGAUAACUACUGGAAACAGUGGCUAAUACCGCAUACCAUCGGAUCUGCCCAGAUGGGAUUAGCUAGUAGGUGGGGUAACGGCUCACCUAGGAGACGAUCCUUAGCUGGUCUGAGAGGAUGACCAGCCACACUGGAACUGAGACACGGCCCAGACUCCUACGGGAGGCAGCAGUGGGGAAUAUUGCACAAUGGGCGCAAGCCUGAUGCAGCCAUGCCGCGUGUAUGAAGAAGGCCUUCGGGUUGUAAAGUACUUUCAGCGGGGAGGCGUUACUCACAGAAGAAGCACCGGCUAACUCCGUGCCAGCAGCCGCGGUAAUUC
rnacentral:rRNA from 1 species